AUUGUUUUGUUCUGGUAAUACAGAGAGAAGAUAGAGCCUCUUGCUGCUUGUUCUGGAACAACAGUUUUGCUGUUAGAAUCAAGCAAGGACCAAAGACAGUAACUGAACUCAACCAAAGACUACAUGGGAGAAGAACCGAUUCUCCUGAGCACCACUGGUCUUUGAACACUGUCAUCCAAAGGCCCUGGCUUAUCUCCCUGGGCUAUUCUUUGG